rnacentral:rRNA from 1 species
UACGUAGGGGGCAAGCGUUGUCCGGAAUCAUUGGGCGUAAAGAGCGCGUAGGCGGUCCGGUAAGUCGGUUGUGAAAACUGGGGGCUCAACCCUCAGAGGCCGACCGAUACUGUCGGGCUAGAGUCCGGAAGAGGCGAGUGGAAUUCCUGGUGUAGCGGUGAAAUGCGCAGAUAUCAGGAGGAACACCAAUAGCGAAGGCAGCUCGCUGGGACGGUACUGACGCUA